rnacentral:rRNA from 1 species
AGUAACACGUGGAUAACCUACCUAUAAGACUGGGAUAACUUCGGGAAACCGUAGCUAAUACCGGAUAAUAUUUUGAACCGCAUGGUUCAAAAGUGAAAGACGGUCUUGCUGUCACUUAUAGAUGGAUCCGCGCUGCAUUAGCUAGUUGGUAAGGUAACGGCUUACCAAGGCAACGAUGCAUAGCCGACCUGAGAGUGUGAUCGGCCACACUGGAACUGAGACACGGUCCAG